CAGAAGUGUUAACAGAGGAAUGAUCAAUAUAUGGUAUUUUAAGCAAGGUUGAAUCAGACACAUGACCCAAACGUUCAUGCCAUGAGACACUAACAUUAGCUUGAACAGCAUUACAUUCCUUAUUUUGACCAUAAGCAAACGAAGGAACAUCCAGCUUGUAUAAUCCAGCUCUUUUCUUUCCAAUAGCGAUAAUCUCCCUAGUCCAACAGUCCUGCAAGGUACAAUGAGAUGGGAAGAAAUGAAUAAGCACAACUGUAUUUUGGAGAAGUUUUCUCACAGACAAAAGAUUGUACUUAAAAUUGGGAACAUAAAGGACAUCUGUAAUGGUAAUCUUAGGAUGCAAUUUAAUGGUACCAAUAUGAGUGACCUUUUGUUGGUUACCAUCAGGCAAAUGUACUGGUGAGUGUUUGAGUGUUUUGUGUGCAUGAGAAAAGAAUUCCAAAUCUAAACAGAUAUGGCUAGUAGCCCCAAUAUCAAUUAUCCAGGUUGAUGUACUCUUACCAUCAUCACUAAGGAAACAUAGGUUUUUCUUGUUACCUGCAAAAUUUGAACAAUUAGCAACAUUUGAUUCAACUAUCAUCUUUUCCUUAAUGUAUUUUGCUAUUUCUUGCUGUAUUAUAGCUGCAAUGUUAGGACUCCAAUCAGGCGUUUGCGAUGGUGCAUCAAAAUUUUCAUCAUCUAUCAAUGUCUCACAGGCUGCACAUGCCUAGUUCUGGUUUGCUCGUGUCUGCUUAAAAUUCUUGUACUAAUCUGGGUACCCAUGGAGCUUAAAACAUGACUCUCGAGUGUGACCUUGAGUUUUGCAGUGAUUGCAAUAUUUUUCUUCCUUUUCCUUCUUAGAGUAUUCUUGUUUUCAUAGGCUGUUUUUUCCAUACCUGGUUCUUUAUUUUUCUUAAGUCCAGAUCCCUUCACCAUCAUUGCACCAGAAUGAUUAAUUGCAUCAGAUACAGAAUUUACCUCAUAUUAUUUCUCAACACGGAGGACCAUAGAAUACACUUUGUUAAUGGUAGGAAGUGGUUCAUUUAGCAAGAUCUGGUUGCGAACAUGGUCAUAGCUAUCAUUCAAUCCCAUGAGGAAUUGAAUCAACUUAUCUUCAUUUUCCAAAUCAGAUACUGUUUUUGCAGAUUCGCAAGUACAGACAGGAAAGCUUCUUAAGUAGGAAAGCUCAUCCCAAAGCUUUUUAAGCUUAGUGAAAUAUGCCACCAAUGACAGAUUCCCUUAAGCGAAGGAGCUAAUUUCACGCUUGAUUUGAAAGAGCAAGGGGCCAUUGCUCUCACCGAAUCUUUGUCCAAGCUCAAUCCAUGGCUCAUAAGCAUUAGUUACAUAAAUAAAUGAUUCAACUAGUUCCUUAGAAAUUGAAUUUAAGAUCCAGGAUAAUACCAUGCUAUCGACACGCUGCCAUUUCUCGAAUGAAGAAGAAUUGAUAUCAGGGGAAGGACACUUGCCGUUGACGAAGCUAAGUUUAUCUUUAGCUCUUAAGGCAAUCUUCAUCGAGUGGCUCCAAGAUAAGUAGUUAGAUCCAUUUAAAGGAACAGUUACCAACAACAUAACGGGAUGAUUAGAAUUGCAGAGAUAAUAUGGAUCAUUGGUUCGGUCGAUAACAAGAGAGGUUUCACGGUGACUACUUCCACUGUCAGUUUUGGAAGAGAUUUCUUCCUCCAUGGAAUGAGGUAGGAAUUAUAAUAUCAAUUUACCAAACACAAGGAGGCCACUGGAAAGUGGCUCUGAUACCAUGCAAAAGUAGCCAAACAGCUACAAAAUAAAGAUAACAGAGAAGAAAUAAUUGGGAAGAAUAUUUUUUAUACUCAUUUGGUCAAUCCUUGUGUGUCUAUAUACAAAAGGAAAGAAAAUUCUAGAAUCAGUCUAGACUAUACAGCUGUGCUAUAACUAACCCACAAAAAAUAAAAUAAAAGAAUUUCUAUUUCCAGCUAUACAACAGAAUUUGACUCAUAAGAGUUUUCAGUUGCUGGGUUUAUUUUUAAGAUCGUUUGACAAUUAUUCCCAAAAAAAACAGAAAAGAAAGAAAAGAUUUGCUUUUUUUGGCAACGCCAUCACGUACCUGAGAGGGGCUUUCACCUUGUAGAUGAAAUUUCCAUUAUCAUACACGUUAACGAUGAAAAUUAGGGAUGGUCUUCAAAGAUUGUAAUAUUCUCACAUCACAGAGGAAGUCUGAUAUGAAACAAUCCACAUUAGCCAUCGAUACAAGUACAUUAUUUUUAAUUUUUAACCAUGGGAAAUGUACUGGCUAGGGGAAAAGGAAGCCAUUGUUAUAAGAAAGUAUAGUGGUUAUCAGAACAAUGGCUUCUUUCCAUUUAACAUUCCCAACAAAUGAUCUAAAACACGUCCCCCUGCAUCCCGCAGACCAGAAUGCAUAUAUUCGUUAGUUAUCCAUAGUCUAAUACCCGCUAUCAGAGAAGCCGUCUCCAUUGCCAGCUUGAAAUUAACAUACAGAUCUUCAUAAUAAACAGCAGCUGCAACAGGUACCUUGUUAUUUUUCAGCACAGCAAUGUCAUAAAGGGGAGGCCAAUCUUUCUUCUCAGCCAAUAACUCAGCAGCAUCUUUAAACUGCUUCAAGGCAUGAAUUUCAUCAAACAUCCAUGGGAACACCAUCUCCCCUGUGAAAAAUACCGGCCGGCCUUCUUUUGCAGCCCUGAUUGCAUCAAAUUUACCAUUGUCUUCAGCCAAAAUUCUGUAAGCAGACCAGUUUGAUGAAUCACCCUUGAAAAUUAAAAAGUAAAAAGAUUUAGAAAGUUGAAAAAAAUUCUCAACAAUCAAAAUAUUUAUGAGUGCCUCAGGUGCUUGUGACAGUGCAAUUCUACCCUGCAAAACAGCAAUGUGAAUUGCUUGGACUUGACUAUGCUAGCCUUGUUUCAUCAUGUACAAGUGAUUAAAAAAAAAAAAAAUUUUCUCCACCAUAUUCAAACGUAUAGCAAGCCCACCAAUCAGACAGUAAGUCCUAUAGGUGAAUUAAGGAAUCUACCUGACAGUAUAUGGGCUCAUGCAGGAUAGCAUAGAGUGGGUUUGAAUCAAAAUCCAACCAAUUUUCAAACUGUCAAAGAGAAAUAGCUUAAGAUUGGUUCCACAAGAUCCUUACAUCAAUGAUAUCAAAAGCACAGCAAUAUGCUUACAGCUUUUAAAAAGUAGUCGCUAAUUUGCUUUCUUGAUCCCGGAACUAUGAUGGGAUCCCACACCCUUUCAAACAUAUAGUGAAGACGCUCAAAACCUGAACUGGAUCCUAAACCAGAAAGACCUAGAAUUUGAAGUCCUCUUGGAGUUAAUAUUCCCCCUGAUGGAAGAAGCACCCCGCCUCCUUCAGAUUCCGCCAAAUGGAUCACAACUUCACGAACAAUUUCAGCAUCUUGAGGAAACCUCUUAUAGUACUUUUCAUUCUGGCGAAUAACCUGUUCAUAGCAUGCUCUAUAGACAAUAUCAGCAGUGCAUCCACUCCUUACUGGAGGGAUUCCUCCAGUUAUCAGGGCUUGUUUCAGUCCUUGUGGUGCAAAACUCAAAUACGUUACAGCACAAAAGCCACCAUAACUCUGACCCAAAAUUGUCCAAGGUCCAGCAUCAGGAACCAGACAAACUCGGAUGAAUUCAGCAUCAUUCACUAUAUUGUCAGCUCGAAAAUAUUUCAAGUAUUCAGCCAACUUCUGUGCAGAACCCAGUUGUAACAUAGAUGAUGAUGUCAAAGGAGUUGAUAAGCCUGUUCCUCGCUGAUCCAUCAAAACAACACGGAAUUCUUCGCAUGCUUUAUGUAUCCAUCCACUAGCCUCAGUUGGCCGUGGACACUCAAAGCCGGGUCCACCCUGUAGAAAUAAUAGGUAAGGCAGUUGUUGUUCUUCUUUCCCAACAGCCACGACUUCUCGAGCAAAAAUGGAGAUCUUGGGAGAAGCACUGCGCUGAACAGAGUAAUCGAGGGGAACAGUGAAGCGAUGGUCGCGAAGCCGAAGGUCCGGCACCGAGUACCAACUCCCGACGUCGUGCUCUGGCGGAGAAUAGAAGGCAGCGUCUUUUGCUUCAGCCAUGGCGGCGAAUGUAUGGAAUGAACUCCGGCGACAGUGGAAAUGAAGAAGUUUGGAGAAUGAAAGUGGCGACUGCCGCGAAGUGGUGUGAGGAGAGAAGAGCGAGGAUGACGCCAAAAGGAGUGGCUUUUUCAAUGAAGGUGGCGCGUAAUUUACAAGCAUUGUGAGGGAAGUGACCAGU
rnacentral:misc_RNA from 1 species